CGCACAUCAAUGCUGAUGACUUUAAAAUAGAAAUUUAUGUGCAACUGAGAUAAAUUCUUCUGUAUAGAACAUUAAAAUGUAAUAUGAAGUUAGAUUUACGUACAAACAUCUGCUACUUAGCCCCUUUUUGGACCAUAGCCUUAACUACCUGAUAGAUCCUACAAAUUACAUCCUGUUGCAGAAUUAAACGCUAAUUAUUAUCUACGAG